rnacentral:rRNA from 1 species
GAAAAGCUUCUAGCGCUAAUCGUAUUGUUACCUGUACCGAUAACGGACACACGUGUUCUAGGAGAACAUCCUCAGGCAAGCGAGAUAACUAUAGCUAAGGAACUCGGCAAAAUGACCCCGUACGUUCGCAAGAAGGGGUGCUCACAGCGAUGUGAGCCGCAGAAAAGAGGAAGGGGCGACUUGUUUAYYAAAAACACAGCUCUSUGCUAAAGCGUAAGUUGAUGUAUAGGGGGUGAAGCCUGCCCAGUGCCAGAAGGUUAAGCGCGGUUGUGAGCUGCGGCGUAGCUACCAACACAAGCCCUGGUGAACGGCGGCCGUAACUAUA